rnacentral:tRNA from 2 species
GGGCCGAUAGCUCAGUCAGGGAGAGCGACGGCCUCUUAAGCCGUCGGUCGGGGGUUCAAAUCCCUCUCGGCCCG